UUGACCUCAAAUCAGGUAGGACUACCCGCUGAACUUAAGCAUAUCAAUAAGCGGAGGAAAAGAAACUAACAAGGAUUCCCUUAGUAACUGCGAGUGAAGUGGGAAAAGCUCAAAUUUAAAAUCUGGCAGUCAUUUGGCUGUCCGAGUUGUAAUCUAGAGAAGUGUUGCCCGUGCUGGACCAUGUACAAGUCUCCUGGAAUGGAGCAUCACAGAGGGUGAGAAUCCUGUCUUUGACAUGGACUACCAGUGCUUUUGUGGUAUGCUCUCAAAGAGUCGAGUUGUUUGGGAAUGCAGCUCAAAAUGGGUGGUAAAUGCCAUCUAAAGCUAAAUAUUGGCGAGAGACCGAUAGUGAACAAGUACCGUGAGGGAAAGAUGAAAAGAACUUUGGAAAGAGAGUUAA
rnacentral:rRNA from 1 species